CGAGAGGGCCGCUACCACGCGAGUGGAUGCCAAUCCCUAAAACCCCUCUCAGUUCGGACUGGAGUCUGCAACCCGACUCCACGAAGCUGGAUUCGCUAGUAAUCGCGCAUCAGCCACGGCGCGGUGAAUACGUUCCCGGGCCUUGUACACACCGCCCGUCAAGCCAUGGGAGCCGGGGGUACCUGAAGUGCGUAACCGCGAGGAUCGCCCUAGGGUAAAACUGGUGACUGGGGCUAAGUCGUAACAAGGUAAC
rnacentral:rRNA from 1 species